UGAAAAACAAAAAUAUAUAGCCAUUUGUAUGUACAUCCUUAAAAAUACACUAAAAUACAACGCAUUCAAGAUAAAGAGAUAUUCUGACUCUUUUUUCUGUCAACAGAUCAUUUAAGGAAACACAUUUCUUGUUUACCAAACAUCUGUCAAUGUAGACAGCAAAUCAAGAUACGUUAUCAGGAGCUUCUAUUUAAAUGCCAUGUCUGUCUUGUCUGUCUCUCUAUUCCUUCCAUCUCUACAUACCAUUUAUUUAAUUUAACUGCCACUACUUUAGCUAAACCCUGGAAUAAGAAUUAAAAUGCAUGACUGAGUGAGGCAACUCUAUCACUGAUUCUUUUUAAUUUGAGCCGAGAAGGUGUUUAUGAAGAAACAAUUAACUCUCAUCACCCUAUCAGUCUCUAGGAACUACACAAGAACUACAAUCUUUUAUUGAUUC
rnacentral:lncRNA from 1 species